UGCGUAGGCGGCUCAGUAAGUGGGGUGUGAAAGCCCUCGGCUCAACCGAGGAAUUGCGCCCCAUACUGCUGGGCUUGAGGGAGACAGGGUGAGCGGAACUGAUGGUGGAGCGGUGAAAUGCGUUGAUAUCAUCAGGAACACCGGUGGCGAAAGCGGCUCACUGGGUCUCUUCUGACGCUGAGGCACGAAAGCUAGGGGAGCGAACG
rnacentral:rRNA from 1 species